CCGGCGCACGGGUGCGUAACGCGUAUGCAACCUACCUUUUACAGGGGAAUAGCCCAGAGAAAUUUGGAUUAAUGCCCCAUGGUAUAUUUGAGUGGCAUCACUUGAUUAUUAAAGUUCCAACGGUAAAAGAUGGGCAUGCGUCCUAUUAGCUGGAUGGUAAGGUAACGGCUUACCAUGGCUACGAUAGGUAGGGGUCCUGAGAGGGAGAUCCCCCACACUGGUACUGAGACACGGACCAGACUCCUACGGGAGGCAGCAGUGAGGAAUAUUGGACAAUGGGCGCAAGCCUGAUCCAGCCAUGCCGCGUGCAGGAAGACGCAUCUAUGGUGUGUAAACUGCUUUUGUACGGGAAGAAACACUCCUACGUGUAGGAGCUUGACGGUACCGUAAGAAUAAGGAUCGGCUAACUCCGUGCCAGCAGCCGCGGUAAUACGGAGGAUCCAAGCGUUAUCCGGAAUCAUUGGGUUUAAAGGGUCCGUAGGCGGUUUGGUAAGUCAGUGGUGAAAGCCCAUCGCUCAACGAUGGAACGGCCAUUGAUACUGCCAGACUUGAAUUAUUGUGAAGUAACUAGAAUAUGUAGUGUAGCGGUGAAAUGCUUAAAUAUUACAUGGAAUACCAAUUGCCAAGGCUGGUUACUAACAAU
rnacentral:rRNA from 1 species